CCUACGGGCGGCUGCAGUGGGGAAUAUUGGACAAUGGGGGCAACCCUGAUCCAGCCAUGCCGCGUGUGUGAAGAAGGCCCUCGGGUUGUAAAGCACUUUCAGUGAGGAAGAACGCCUGGUGGUUAAUACCCAUCAGGAAAGACAUCACUCACAGAAGAAGCACCGGCUAACUCCGUGCCAGCAGCCGCGGUAAUACGGAGGGUGCGAGCGUUAAUCGGAAUUACUGGGCGUAAAGCGCGCGUAGGUGGCUUGAUAAGCCGGUUGUGAAAGCCCCGGGCUCAACCUGGGAACGGCAUCCGGAACUGUCAAGCUAGAGUGCAGGAGAGGAAGGUAGAAUUCCUGGUGUAGCGGUGAAAUGCGUAGAGAUCGGGAGGAAUACCAGUGGCGAAGGCGGCCUUCUGGACUGACACUGACACUGAGGUGCGAAAGCGUGGGUAGCAAACAGGAUUAGAUACCCCAGUAGUC
rnacentral:rRNA from 1 species